rnacentral:rRNA from 1 species
UGCCAGCAGCCGCGGUAAUACGGGGGGUGCAAGCGUUGUUCGGAUUUAUUGGGCGUAAAGCGCGUGUAGGCGGUUUGUUAAGUCUGAUGUGAAAGCCCUGGGCUCAACCCAGGAAGUGCAUUGGAAACUGGCAGACUUGAGUACGGGAGAGGGUAGUGGAAUUCCGAGUGUAGGAGUGAAAUCCGUAGAUAUUCGGAGGAACACCGGUGGCGAAGGCGGCUGCCUGGACCGAUACUGACGCUGAGACGCGAAAGCGUGGGUAGCAAACAGGAUUAGAUACCCUGGUAGUCCACGCCGUAAACGAUGAGUACUAGGUGUUGCGGGUAUUGACCCCUGCAGUGCCGCAGCUAACGCAUUAAGUACUCCGCCUGGGAAGUACGGUCGCAAGACUAAAACUCAAAGGAAUUGACGGGGGCCCGCACA